GAUGAACGCUGGCGGCGUGCCUGAUACAUGCGAGUCGAGCGAACAGACGAGGAGCUUGCUCCUCUGACGUUAGCGGCGGACGGGUGAGUAACACGUGGAUAACCUACCUAUAAGACUGGGAUAACUUCGGGAAACCGGAGCUAAUACCGGAUAAUAUAUUGAACCGCAUGGUUCAAUAGUGAAAGACGGUUUUGCUGUCACUUAUAGAUGGAUCCGCGCCGCAUUAGCUAGUUGGUAAGGUAACGGCUUACCAAGGCAACGAUGCGUAGCCGACCUGAGAGGGUGAUCGGCCACACUGGAACUGAGACACGGUCCAGACUCCUACGGGAGGCAGCAGUAGGGAAUCUUCCGCAAUGGGCGAAAGCCUGACGGAGCAACGCCGCGUGAGUGAUGAAGGUCUUCGGAUCGUAAAACUCUGUUAUUAGGGAAGAACAAAUGUGUAAGUAACUAUGCACGUCUUGACGGUACCUAAUCAGAAAGCCACGGCUAACUACGUG
rnacentral:rRNA from 1 species